GACGAACGCUGGCGGCGUGCCUAAUACAUGCAAGUAGGACGCAGAUGCGAACGGGUGAGUAACGCGUAUGUAACUACCUAUUAGAGGGGGGUAACUAUUGGAAACGAUAGCUAAUACCGCAUACUAGUAGAUGGACCUGCGUUGUAUUAGGUAGUAGGUUGGGUAAUGGCCUACCUAGGCAACGAUACAUGGCCGACCUGGAGGGGGGAUCGGGCACACUGGGACUGAGGAACGGGCCAAACUCCUACGGGAGGGAGCCGUUGGGAAUCUUCGGCAAUGGGGGGAACCCUGAACAAGCAACGCCGCGGGAGUGAAGAAGGUUUUCGGGUCGGAAAGCUCUGUUGUUAAGGAAGCGGUACUUAACCAGAAAGGGACGGCUAACUACGUGCCAGCCGCCGCGGUAAUAC
rnacentral:rRNA from 1 species